GACGAACGCUGGCGGCGUGCUUAACACAUGCAAGUCGAACGGAAAGGCCCUGCUUUUGUGGGGUGCUCGAGUGGCGAACGGGUGAGUAACACGUGAGUAACCUGCCCUUGACUUUGGGAUAACUUCAGGAAACUGGGGCUAAUACCGGAUAGGAGCUCCUGCUGCAUGGUGGGGGUUGGAAAGUUUCGGCGGGUGGGGAUGGACUCGCGGCUGAUCGACUUGUUGGUUGGGUAGUGGCUUACCAAGGCUUUGACGGGUAGCCGGCCUGAGAGGGUGAACGGCCACAUUGGGACUGAGAUACGGCGCAGACUCCUACGGGAGGCAGCAGUGGGGAAUAUUGCACAAUGGGCGGAAGCCUGAUGCAGAAACGCCGCGUGCGGGAUGACGGCCUUCGGGUUGUAAACCGCUUUCGCCUGUGACGAAGCGUGAGUGACGGUAAUGGGUAAAGAAGCACCGGCUAACUACGUG
rnacentral:rRNA from 1 species